AGGAUGGACGCUGGCGGCGUGCUUAACACAUGCAAGUCAAGGGGGCCCAGCAAUGGGCAACCGGCGAACGGGUGCGUAACACGUGAGCAACCUACCCAGGUGUGGGGGAUAGCCGUCCCAACGGACGGGUAAUACCGCAUACGCUCUUCUUUAGGCAUUUAGAGAAGAGGAAACCGUUCGGGCACCAUGGAGGGCUCGCGGCCUAUCAGCUAGUUGGCGAGGUAACGGCUCACCAAGGCUAACGGCGGUAGCGUGGUCUGAGAGGAUCGGACCAGCCACAGUUGGACUGAGAAACGCCCAGACUCCGUACGGGAGGCACGGCGAGGUUAGGGGAACUUCGUUGCGAC
rnacentral:rRNA from 1 species